rnacentral:rRNA from 1 species
CGAUAUCGACGUAGUUUGAUCCUGGCUCAGAACGAACGCUGGCGGCAUGCCUAACACAUGCAAGUCGAACGAACCCUUCGGGGUUAGUGGCGCACGGGUGCGUAACACGUGGGAAUCUGCCCUUUGCUUCGGAAUAACAGUUAGAAAUGACUGCUAAUACCGGAUAAUGUCUUCGGACCAAAGAUUUAUCGGCAAAGGAUGAGCCCGCGUAGGAUUAGCUUGUUGGUGAGGUAAUGGCUCACCAAGGCGACGACGGGUAGCCGGCCUGAGAGGGCGACCGGCCACACUGGGACUGAGACACGGCCCAGACUCCUACGGGAGGCAGCAGUGGGGAAUAUUGCACAAUGGGCGAAAGCCUGAUGCAGCGACGCCGCGUGAGGGAUGACGGCCUUCGGGUUGUAAACCUCUUUCAGCAGGGAAGAAGCGAAAGUGACGGUACCUGCAGAAGAAGCACCGGCUAACUACGUG